rnacentral:rRNA from 1 species
GAUGAACGCUGGCGGUAUGCUUAACACAUGCAAGUCGAACGGACUCUUCGGAGUUAGUGGCGGACGGGUGAGUAACGCGUGAGAAUCUGGCUUUGGGUUCGGGACAACCACUGGAAACGGUGGCUAAUACCGGAUGUGCCGAGAGGUAAAAGAGAAAUUGCCUGAAGAUGAGCUCGCGUCUGAUUAGCUAGUUGGUGAGGUAAAGGCUCACCAAGGCAGCGAUCAGUAGCUGGUCUGAGAGGAUGACCAGCCACACUGGGACUGAGACACGGCCCAGACUCCUACGGGAGGCAGCAGUGGGGAAUUUUCCGCAAUGGGCGAAAGCCUGACGGAGCAAUACCGCGUGAGGGAAGAAGGCUGUUGGGUUGUAAACCUCUUUUCUUAGGGAAGAACAAAAUGACGGUACCUAAGGAAUCAGCAUCGGCUAACUCCGUG